rnacentral:rRNA from 1 species
CCCAGACUCCUACGGGAGGCAGCAGUGGGGAAUAUUGGACAAUGGGGGGAACCCUGAUCCAGCGACGCCGCGUGAGUGAAGAAGUAUUUCGGUAUGUAAAGCUCUAUCAGCAGGGAAGAAAGAAAUGACGGUACCUGACUAAGAAGCCCCGGCUAACUACGUGCCAGCAGCCGCGGUAAUACGUAGGGGGCAAGCGUUAUCCGGAUUUACUGGGUGUAAAGGGGGCGCAGACGGCAGCGCAAGCCAGGAGUGAAAGCCCGGGGCCCAACCCCGGGACUGCUCUGGAAACUGCGGCGCUGGAGUACGGGAGGGGCAGGCGGAAUUCCUGGUGUAGCGGUGAAAUGCGUAGAUAUCAGGAGGAACACCGGCGGCGAAGGCGGCCUGCUGGACCGUGACUGACGUUGAGGCUCGAGAGCGUGGGGAGCAAACAGGAUUAGAUACCCCCGUACC